AGAACCUGCCAAACAGACGUUACUGACGUUAGAUGUGUCCACGUGUAUGGUGGAUAUGAAAGACUUUCAGCUCCAACUGCACUAUAAAUUGGAGCUGAGGCAAUCGCCUUAUGAUUCAUCCUAUAGUUGAAGAAUUCAAUUGCCAAGUGAUAAGCCUCUUCCAAAUCCCUGAGAAAAUGUCUUGCUGCGGAGGAAACUGUGGCUGUGGCUCUGGAUGCAAGUGCGGCAGCGGCUGCAACGGCUGUGGCAUGUACCCUGACAUCUCAGAGAA